CCUACGGGGUGCAGCAGUAGGGAAUCUUUCACAAUGGGCGAAAGCCUGAUGGAGCAACGCCGCGUGCAGGAUGAAGGCCUUCGGGUUGUAAACUGCUUUUAUAAGCGAGAAAUAUGAUGGUAACUUAUGAAUAAGGAUCGGCUAACUACGUGCCAGCAGCCGCGGUCAUACGUAGGAUCCGAGCAUUAUCCGGAGUGACUGGGUGUAAAGAGUUGCGUAGGUGGCAUAAUAAGUAGCUAGUGAAAUCUGGUGGCUCAACCAUUCAGACUAUUAGCUAAACUGUUAAGCUCGAGACCGUUAGGGGUAACUGGAAUUUCUAGUGUAGGAGUGAAAUCCGUAGAUAUUAGAAGGAACACCAAUAGCGUAGGCAGGUUGCUGGGACGGUUCUGAGACUAAGGCACGAAAGCGUAGGGAGCAAACGGGAUUAGAUACCCUUGUAGUC
rnacentral:rRNA from 1 species